AUGAAAUCUUUGAUUCCAGCACUAGGAUUCUUACCAUCAACAACCUUUCCACUCUUAGAUGACAGUGAAAUCCUCUCAAACACGAACCUUAUCAACUUCAAUAUAGGUCCUCUUCAAAUGGAUACAGGAACAACCACAAAUAACAGAUAUAUUAUGUUUUUAAGCAAAAAUUCAGAAUAUGAGAAUAGAAAAAACAUAAUGAUAAGAAAAGCAAGCAAACACACCAAAUUAACAACAAGCAUCACAUAUAGUACUAUACAAAAUCAAGAACAACAACAACAACAACCAAGUCUUCUUUAUCCCACUAAGUAG